rnacentral:rRNA from 1 species
UACAGAGGUCUCAAGCGUUGUUCGGAUUCAUUGGGCGUAAAGGGCGCGUAGGCGGCGCCGUAAGUCAGGUGUGAAAUUUCGGAGCUUAACUCCGAAACUGCAUUUGAUACUGCGGUGCUUGAGGACUGGAGAGGAGACUGGAAUUUACGGUGUAGCAGUGAAAUGCGUAGAGAUCGUAAGGAAGACCAGUGGCGAAGGCGGGUCUCUGGACAGUUCCUGACACUGAGGCACGAAGGCCAGGGGAGCAAACGGG